CCUACGGGAGGCUGCAGUGAGGAAUAUUGGUCAAUGGACGAGAGUCUGAACCAGCCAAGUAGCGUGAAGGAUGACUGCCCUAUGGGUUGUAAACUUCUUUUAUAAAGGAAUAAAACGAGGCACGUGUGCCUUUUUGCAUGUACUUUAUGAAUAAGGAUCGGCUAACUCCGUGCCAGCCGCCGCGGUAAUACGGAGGAUCCGAGCGUUAUCCGGAUUUAUUGGGUGUAAAGGGAGCGUAGAUGGGUUGUUAAGUCAGUUGUGAACGUUUGCGGCUCAACCGUAAAAUUGCAAUUGAUACUGGCAGUCUUGAGUACAGUUGAGGUAGGCGGAAUUCGUGGUGUAGCGGUGAAAUGCUUAGAUAUCACGAAGAACCCCGAUUGCGAAGGCAGCUUACUAAACUGUGACUGACAUUGAUGCUCGAAAGUGUGGGUAUCAAACAGGAUUAGAUACCCCAGUAGUC
rnacentral:rRNA from 1 species